CCAACUGAUUACUUAUGAAGAACAAAACAAAGACUUUAAUUCAAUAUUAAUUACCUAAAGCAGGAAUGCAAGAAUAUAAUAAAAAAUAAAGUGAAGCGAUAAAGCACACCACAAACACAAGAUUUAUAGUGGUUCGGUGCUAACCUUGCACCUACAUCCACUCCCCAAGAUCCUACUUGGAAAUUUCAAUCCACUAUACUUUGUAUUCAACCCGAAUACAAAAU
rnacentral:lncRNA from 1 species